rnacentral:rRNA from 1 species
UGGGGAAUAUUGCACAAUGGGCGAAAGCCUGAUGCAGCGACGCCGCGUGCGGGAUGAAGGCCUUCGGGUUGUAAACCGCUUUUAAUUGGGAGCAAGCGAGAGUGAGUGUACCUUUUGAAUAAGCACCGGCUAACUACGUGCCAGCAGCCGCGGUAAUACGUAGGGUGCAAGCGUUGUCCGGAAUUAUUGGGCGUAAAGAGCUCGUAGGCGGUUUGUCACGCCUGGUGUGAAAGUCCAUCGCUUAACGGUGGAUCUGCGCCGGGUACGGGCAGGCUAGGGUGCAGUAGGGGAGAUUGGAAUUCCCGGUGUAACGGUGGAAUGUGUAGAUAUCGGGAAGAACACCAAUGGCGAAGGCAGAUCUCUGGGCUGUUACUGACGCUGAGGAGCGAAAGCAUGGGGAGCGAACAGGAUUAGAUACCCUGGUAGUCCAUGCCGUAAAACGGUGGAUGCUGGAUGUGGGACCCUUCCA